CUCAGCAUAUGGGGAACAGUGCUCUGUGCUUUGCCUCCCUUCAGUCUUUCAUCCCCCUCCCUCUUUCUUCUUCUCUCUGACUGUGCUGCUCCUUCCUUCAACUCCUUUAACAGGCUGCCGUGCUGCUCCUGUCUGCCUCUGAGCAGGGAGAGCUGAGCUUGACUUGGUGCCAUAGGCCCAACUGCUCAUGCAAGUAGAGUUCAUAUGGACACAAAACCAACAUGUGGUGCCUGGAAGACUCCCCACAGAGGUCAGCUUCAGGACUCACCGGCCCAGGAGACAAUGGAUCAGGACUGGGUGGAUUGGAUCGCGGGUACAGGCCAUGAAACGAACACUUCAGAGGUCAUGGGAGCAGCCCUCUCUCCAGCCACUUCCAUCAGCUUUUCCGGGGGAAUCCCAAGGCGUUCCCAGGCCAGCCACAAGAUAUAAUACCUCCAGCAUGACCUGGGUCAGCCCUGAGGUCUCCUCCCAGACAGACAUGCCUGAAACAUCUCCCCAGGGAGGUGUCCAGGAGGCAUCUUCACUAGAUGCCCGAAACACCUCAACUGCCUCCUCUUGACAUAGAGGAGCAGGGGCUCUACUCCGAUUCCCUCCCGGAUGUCCAAGCUCCUCACCCUAUCUCUAACGCUGAGCCCACCCUGCGGAGGAAACUCCUUUGGCCACGUUAUGAUGUUGA